ACAGGAAACUGCACCCCCAUUUUGUAUAUUGGGCUACCCUCUAUUCUCAUCCUCCUAUUGAUCAUCACAGCCACGGUCUUCAUCUUCAGAAAGCAUCUUGCCAAAGGGAAUGGAGAAAAGACAGACACCCGGAUACCUAUGGCAGAGGCCCCACAGACCGAUUGUGCAGAACUCCGUUGCAAGAACUGAAACGGUGACCAAAGGGAUGGAUAUAGUCUGUGAGCUGAAGUUCAUGUUGCUUUUAAAGGAAGGAAUGACACAAGAAAAGCAACAUCCAGAGUUUAUUGUCUUUUUAAGCAGGUUAAAUGUCGACGUUUGUAUUAAACACAGCCUUUUCUGUAUUAAUGGCAUCCAUGUUAUCAUUUCCCACCAUGUUCUAGUGACCAAGAUGAAUCUGCUAUGUUGUGUGUGUG